rnacentral:rRNA from 1 species
UACGAAGGGGGCUAGCGUUGCUCGGAAUCACUGGGCGUAAAGGGUGCGUAGGCGGGUCUUUAAGUCAGGGGUGAAAUCCUGGAGCUCAACUCCAGAACUGCCCUUUGAUACUGGCGGUAUCUAGUCGGGAGAGGUGAGUGGAACUGCGAGUGUAGAGGUGAAAUUCGUAGAUAUUCGCAAGAACACCAGUGGCGAAGGCGGCUCACUGGCCCGGUACUGACGCUGAGGUGCGAAAGCGUGGGGAGCAAACAGG